AUCCCUCCACAGUCUCCACUUUGGUUCCUGCCUCAAGUUCCUGUCUGACUUCUCUCCAUGGUGGACUGUGAUGUGAUGCGGGACUAGAGAAGCAAAAGUGGAUGCAGGGACUCCAAAGCAAGGCCACCCGCCAUCUUCUUGAAAGAGUGGGAGGAGAUGGAGAUGUGGACCCAGAAUUACGCUGUGUUCCAGCCUGUCAGCCCUGGGAAGGUCAAGAGGUCCAGCAUGAUGGGGGAGAGACAUGAUGGCAGGAACAUGAGAUGCCCGGUCACAUUGCAGCAAGCAGGAGGCAGAGACAAGAGCCAAAGAGUCAGGUCCUAAGAAAGGAGCUGUAUCUACUUCUUCCUGCCUCCAGUCUCCAGUAACGUGGACCACCAGGCCAUUAUUAUAUCUGGUCUAUGCUCCUGAUCAUAAAGUUAUAAAUAUGCCAUCAUUUGAUGCUGUAUGGAGGAGACUACUGUGUAAGAAAAGGCUGAAGAACAAAGUACAAUGGGAGAAAGUUUGGAGGAAUAAACACAGUCAAUUACAUCGCUACACAUAUGUCCUGCUGUAACAACAAAUAGAGCCAGAAUCUUAGUGAUGGAGUGUGUUAGACUAGGAAGUCUUUCAUGGAACCCUUCCUCAUGUCAUUCCUGCAAGACCAGAAGACUUCCAUGAUAAUUCUCUUACCUUCAUAAGUGUCUCAGAAGUCAUCAACACAAAGGAAGAGAGAAACUAUAGGCCUUGUUGCUCUUCUCUUUUUCAUUAGCUUAAAAAUUACAAGCCUUGCCUUUGCAGCCCAUUUGGUAGAACCAGUCACAGUGCCUUGAUGUGGCUGCAGAAGCUAUGUUCAGAAAAGAGACAAGCAAUCUGAGAAGCACUGAUGUUGCCUCCUCCACAGGACUUGAAAAUGAUACAGUUAUUAACCCAUCAAAUGUAACAGCUUGGGACAUUAAAAUAGCCUAGAACACAGAAGAAUUUUUAUUUCAGAUACAUGAUAAGAGGAAGACAAAAUGAGACUCAAAGUAAAUUGCUCUCCUAAAAAAACGCUAAAAUAAGCAGCACCUGUCUAGUUUUGUUUGGAAUUAUCAGAAAUGAAACCCCUCAAAGCCAAUGGUCACCAAAGUAGUUUUACCCAGAUUUCAUGUUCUAGUCUCAUGCAUCUUGCUGGUCAUGGGAGGCAUUAUGGCACAAAUUUUAUUUUCUUGGAACAAACAAACACCAACAUCAUAUUAAAUAUGCAAUUCUUUUC